rnacentral:lncRNA from 1 species
GUUUCUCUAAACAAUGAAGCCCUUCACAAAAGGAAGGCAUUUCUGAUGUGACGGAGGUAAGUUCACAUGACACAACAGUUUAGUUACUUGGAAUGUCUCGCAAGGUCUUGCAAGUUGAACUACUUCUUUAAAGUACGAUAUAAGAAAGAAGUGCUACCAUGUUGAAGGAGAACCCUAAGGGAUUAGAGUUGCCUGGAAGGAGAUCUGAAGGUCGUGAUUCCUGAGCAUGUCUAUGAAGAUAGGUAAACCCGGAAAUGCCAAGAGAAGGGUGCACUCAACCAUCAACAAGGUCGAAUCCUGGGGUGACAGCCGUGACGUUCUCCAUAUUGUCAAUCACCAGCAAACCGAGGAGAAUGAGGCCACGUGGGGCCUCCGGUCUGCUAAGACUCGCCCUGUGUCCUUGCUAACAUGA